rnacentral:rRNA from 1 species
UACGGAGGAUCCGAGCGUUAUCCGGACUUAUUGGGUUUAAAGGGAGCGUAGGUGGAUUGUUAAGUCAGUUGUGAAAGUUUGCGGCUCAACCGUAAAAUUGCAGUUGAAACUGGCAGUCUUGAGUACAGUAGAGGUGGGCGGAAUUCGUGGUGUAGCGGUGAAAUGCUUAGAUAUCACGAAGAACUCCGAUUGCGAAGGCAGCUCACUGGACUGCAACUGACACUGAGGCUCGAAAGUGUGGGUAUCGAACAGG